GAUGAACGCUGGCGGCGUGCCUAAUACAUGCGAGUCGAGCGAACAGACGAGGAGCUUGCUCCUCUGACGUUAGCGGCGGACGGGUGAGUAACACGUGGAUAACCUACCUAUAAGACUGGGAUAACUGCGGGAAACCGGAGCUAAUACCGGAUAAUAUAUUGAACCGCAUGGUUCAAUAGUGAAAGACGGUUUUGCUGUCACUAAUAGAUGGAUCCGCGCCGCAUUAGCUAGUUGGUAAGGUAACGGCUUACCAAGGCAACGAUGCGUAGCCGACCUGAGAGGGUGAUCGGUCACACUGGAACUGAGACACGGUCCAGACUCCUACGGGAGGCAGCAGUAGGGAAUCUUCCGCAAUGGGCGAAAGCCUGACGGAGCAACGCCGCGUGAAUGAUGAAGGUCUUCGGAUCGUAAAACUCUGUUAUUAGGGAAGAACAAAUGUGUAAGUAACUAUGCACGUCUUGACGGUACCUAAUCAGAAAGCCACGGCUAACUACGUG
rnacentral:rRNA from 1 species